CACACUGAACGUUUUAGGCGACUUUCAUAUCAGCGUUUUCAAUUUCCGCUAUUAAGAUCCGUCAUAGGAUCUCAACAGCGGAGGAAAACGCUUCAGUUUUGUCCCUAUUCAUUGUCAAUGGGGACAAAACUGAACUGAAGGGAAUGGAGUGCACCA